CACAUCAAUUAAAUGCACAUUUAUUCACUCAUACACAGCCUGAAAAUUACACACUGCCACGCCCCCGUUUGCUGAUUCAGGCCCUCGAAAUCAGACAACAGACGUUUACCGUCCUCACAGAAAGCUGUUUGUUCGUUUUACCUCUGCACCACUGAACAAGUGCCUGCUGUUAGACUGCGUCCACUCAAUAACUGCAGCGGAUCAUAUCUACAAAAACAGUAAAAAUCUUUCUGUCAUAAUUAGGCAGGCAGAAGUGCAGCCAAGCUCGGGUCUGCUGAGUCAUGAGUCGGCGACGUGUUUUCUCUGCAGGUCAGAAGUUCACUCGUGUUUCUGCUUGUCCGUCUUCAUCUCCUCACUCUCCUCGUUUGGGCUGAUGAGGCUCGCCUGGUGUUUCUGGGUCAGCGUGCUGCCUUCAGCCCAAAAUGUCACAGAUUAUCCUCUCCACCUCCUCCGUCACAGGUAUGCUCAUCUCCAGCUCGCCCUCCUCUCAGGAAGAUGAAGGUUUGACUCAUUUAGUCCAAAUUUGGCACAUUUUAAUUAUUUUUCCAGCAUGUUGGAGCCUCAUAAUUUCAUCGGUCCAGCAGAGAUCCACAUGAGAUUUUCAGGGCUGAAAAACAUAUUUAAGCUCUGCUAAAAAACUGCAAUAGGAUUAGUUUUACACCCACUACCUGAGUCACAACCUGAAGACUGAAUCUGUUGUUCUUCAUGGUCUCUGAGCAUCAGUUUGACGGAUCUAUCGUAUUUUGAAUAAACUGCAGCAGAUUAAUGAUAAUGCACUGGAGAAAAUCUCACAAAGUGCAUUCUGGGUAAACUUUCAGCCUCUUAACAGCAUAUGGGACAGGUGUAUGCUCAGGACAAGUUAGAAAAGAUGUCCUUUAAAGUCUUUGCUGCGUUGUCUAUUGUGUGCGCACACAGCACCAGUUCACCCGUGAGCUGAGUGAGUGAAAAUGGUCGCGCACAAGGACUGGACUGAACAUGAGUGGAAAAGCAUCCGAUGUCCAAAAAAGAGCUUCAUGGAUCUGGAGUACUGUUGCUCUAGAGCACUUUAAACGGUUUUAACAGACAGCCUGGCUCCUUGGAAGCAAAAUAUAAAGAAAUGAAGGGUGGAUCAAAGUUUUCCACAGUACUGUCGAAGUGUCUGUUUUUACAGCUAAAUGAAGAUGAGUGGGAAAUCUAUGAAAUGCAAACAUUUGCAUAAUGAAAAAACACGACACUUAUUCUGAAGUCCAGCACGUUUACAUCCUAUUUUUACAUGUUUGUCCCUAAACAGGCUCCAUAUUAAAUAAGCAGUGAGAAUGGUGCAGAGGUGAUUCAGAGCACAGGUUGCUGGAUUACUUGUUUGGGAAAAAGUUUAGUUUAAAAAAAAUCUCUUGACUCUCGCUGGGACCGGCACGAACUCCAAACAUCCUGGUUUGUCUAAUUGAGGACGUUAAUGCUGGGAGAAAACUUGCUGAUGCAGAGAGUCUCAGACGUCUCGUUGGCCUCGUUGAAGGAACAUAAACAACACAUUGCAAUCUGCCCCUCCCUCGUGUUCAAGCACCGACUGGGGGGAGCAGAUCUCUGAACUCUCACAAACUGUUGGGUCGAGCAGGUGCCGAGGACUUCUGCUGGUGGGAGGCGGCGAUGCUUGGCAGCAGCGUCAUUUUUAUUGGCGAGAGCGUCUAUUUUUAUCCUCCAGCCAGACCCAGUGAAGGAAACAUGGCCUGAAAAAAGUUCCACGUUGACGAUGAAUUGAUCUUUCCCACUGCCUGCUGUAACGGGAAAAAAAACCCUCCAGGUUCAUUUUGUGUGAGCGAAAUGAAUUCAAAUCACUUCGGCGACAAAAUACAGCAUUUUUACCGGGUCAAUAAGCAGUUAAUAGUCACAGACACAAACCUGAUUACACCUGGCCAACAGGUGAAGUGCCCACAGUGAGCUCCAGUAUAUGACGUAGUUAUCUCUGCCACUGUAUGUGUGAUUCAGUAACUGCAUGGUUUAUAUUAAUGGUUUAUACAUUAUAUAUCACACAAGUCAAAUCAUUGACACAGACUGAUUUGACUUAUGUCAAAUACACGUCAAAAUGACAAAACAAAGUUUUACACAUUUCUAAGACAGGCACUGAAAUGACAUCACUUUGUUCCUAAGAAUUAAACUAUUAUUGUAUAUAUAUUAUUUUCACAGCUUCAUUUACAGGAGUCCAUCAUCCUGAUCAACAAGCUGUUUUUUUCACUUUGGAAACAGCCAAAAAAAAAAGGAGAAAUUAACUAAAUAAUAAAUAAAAAUAGAAAUAACGUCAACUAAAUUUAUACUUUGGAUUAUAGAAAUAAAUUAAUUAAUGAAAAUAGAAUCAUUCAAUAAAUCAGUGUAGAAUUACAGAAAUAAAUAACUUAUAAUAAACACAAAUACAAAUCUAGAAAAAACAAGUAAAUGCAAAGUGAAAAAAGAUAAACUCAAUAUAUAACUGUAGAAACAAAAUGUAUAGAACAUACAGAAUCAUAUUUAUGCACUUAUAUGUAUUAGUUUUGGUUCAUUUCUGAGCUGCAUAUUAAAUAAUGUUGAGUAUAAAAACAGAAGCGCCGAUUAGAUGGAAGCUACUGCAGGAAACGAUGACGUGACCUCAACAGAAAAUAUUUACCAUCUGACCCAAACUAGGAGCUAAAACAGGUAAAAAGUCAGCGAUGUCUGUGCCGGUUCUUCCAUACAGAUGUUUUCUCUAUAAAACUCUGUGAGCUCGGCGCUGCUACAGGAUGUUAUGUAACAGGAAAAUGGGCACUCACUGAGGUUGUGCCCUUUAUAUUACCAGGUGGAGGUUUGGGGGGGUCGAGUUUAGCCAAAGUGCAGACUGAACACAGAAAGCCAUUUUCACACAGCUUUCCUGAGAGGUUUUGGGGGGGGGGGUGAUUUCACGCAGACGUGAUGAUGCGUGGGAUUAGCACUGCACUGAUGGUAUUAAUUAAAUAAAGAAGUUCAGAUGAUGGCAAACAGCUGUUUCACUCAUCCAAACUCAAACACGUUAAGAUGGGUUUCCAGGAAAACCAACGUCAGCGCCUCCAUUUGCACGUUUCACUGUAAACUGCUGCUGGAAAUCUGGAUGAACAUGAAGGAAGUGAUGCUAAUCGCUGCAAUCAUCAGCUGCUCUGUGCUGCAGAUAAAAAGCUUUGAACAUGAAACCUGCUCAGCUUUUACAAACAUGCUUGAUUUAUUAAUGAUCUGAUUUUAGAGCACAGAUCCAGAGCGGUGUGGACACCUCCUUUCUAAGGAAACUUUAUUUUAAAUGUUAUAAAACAGAGUUUGUAUCAGCAUGAUCGACCUGCUCCCUGCAGAGCCACACAUAGUGUAGAAAGUUAAAGAUGUUCAAGAACCAGAGUGAUGCCAGGUGAGCUGAUAAGUUCACUAAUCAAGAUUAAAUUAUUCAUGGCAGUGAGUAAAUCAGGUUAAAUACGAGCUCUCACUGGCUUAGCCUUCACUACUUUCUCUUCAUGCUCUCAAAGCUCUUCGAAACUCUCCAUGUUGAAACUUACAUGUGGAUUCAGUUUGUGCAGACUCCUCAGGCCUCUGGAGGAUCAGCUCAGGAGCAGACGACACUGAGUAAUUAGUCACAGUGUAAUUAAUUCUUCAAAGGUGAAGAAGCAGUGAGGAACAGACUAUUUUCAGCUUGUUUGCUGCAUCAAAAAGCUGAUUUUACAGAACUGCUUGAAUUUGCUAAUGAGUUAGAGAAGGGGAAAAAUGUUCAUAUCUUUCAUAUGUUUCUGUCAUCACAGCUGAAACAUAGUAAUCAGCAAAGUUACAGCUGUGUUUUUAUGGUGAGCAGAAACAAAGCUGUUAAAGCCACAGAGCUCUACUGCUGAACGACAUCACAUCAAGCUGCAGAUGGUGAGGACAGGAAGUCAGAAACAGCAAUGGGACAGAGAACCUGGUCGAUUUUCAAAAUAAAAGCCCUCAAUUAGACUAGACACCGUUCCGGUCGGAUGUGGUAUGAAGCCAGAGGGAUCAAACCAAGUGUCAGAGACCGGUCUGUUCAGCAAAAACAAAAACAAAAGUGGAACCAACAAGUUCUAAAACUGCAUCACAAAAUGAAGAACAAACCAACAAAGGUGUUGCAGAAGUUUCACUUCAUACCUGCAGAUGCCCGAUUGUGUUAGUCUGACUACACCAGGCAGCUGCUCCGGAACUUUGAGGGAAUCAGGGAUUCUCUGUUUGGCUCCGUGUUAGUGGAAAAGCCUUUUCACUGUAAAUAAGCAUGUAGAGGCUAAGGCCAUGGACACACUCUGCCGGGCACAUUCUUAUCUCGGGGCACUGAUUUAAUAAAAGAUGCUGGAAAUGAAUGGAGAUGGUCAUCUUUGAGCAGGGGCUCUCAGAGCUCAGAUUCUGCUUUGGCUCCUGAUGACAAAAAACCCAGGCUAUUUUUAGUUUUACUGUGUUUCCAGGGGAAGGUAUUCAUCUGUGCAAACCUGACCGCGUGCUGGAGUUCAGUUUCUUAUACCUGCAUUGUUUGGUUUUCACACCUUUUAAGAUUUCUCAUCACCUGACUGAGGGCCAGAACCUUGAAAUGGGCUUAUUCGGCUGUUUCUUGUCAUGUUUUUCAUGUUCAGUUCUAACGUUCAUAUUAAACACAACCAAAGUUUCUAAUAAUGUGUGUGAUGUCAUAAAGAGUCACAUCCUUCUAUUCAAACCUUCUGUUUGUGAAGGACAGCCAAUCAGAAGAAAGAAAGUUAAAGGAGGGAGGAGCUGUGAGGAAUCCUGAAAGGAAAUCUGAGAUGAUGCUGGCUGUCCCGCCUCCACACCAAACAGCCAAUGAGCAUCUGAAACAGGGAAAACAAUGAGCCGAUCAUGGCGAGCUUCCUGUUUUAGCUGUGUGGAGGCAGAGUUAAGUGUAUUUUUCUGUUCAGUGCUGAGCCGUUACUGAAGCUCAAACACUGUGAAACAUGUAGCAGAAGUAUAACUUACGGGGAAAACUUACAGGCAAAGUCACCAAACCGUGAAGCAUAAUUUUAUUGGCAAUUGGAUAUAUGAAGUUUUUAUCUUCCUGGGGCUCUAAAAUCAAUCUACUCCAGCCCAAGAAUUGAAAACAUGUCUGAGACUCUGUGGGGAGGAGAGGGGGGCCCACAGUCCCUUUAAGCUAUGUGAUAGUCGAUGGAAACAACACCAGUGCUGUGUGCUUGAUUUCUGUUGCAAAGUGUCAAAACUGCAAUUCUGCAACUUUAAUUCUAGGGAAGAAAAUCUAAAAAGAAGCAUAGGUGCUGAGACGAGACGAUGUUUGGUGUAGCAAAACCCGUUCACACUCCCGAAGGAGGUCACAGUAUCACCAAGCAUCCCCGUGGUUCUUCAGGCUCGACUCUUCUGGGAAAUACGGCUGUUUGGAUAAUUCAUUCUCUCAUUUGAAAGGAAUUUAGAGCUGAAUCCAUAGGCAGACAGAUACUUGCCAAAGGGUAUCUAACAGGGCGAGUGCACAGACUGUGUGGUUAUACAGGUUUCCUUGUUUCUGUCUUCAGUCUCUCAGUCGUGCAGUUUCUAUAGUUCUUGAGAAAAACCCACAGUCUGCGUGUUGAGCAAAGCCAUUUUUUAAACAAACACUCACAUUUAGUGAGCAUGUACCUGACUUUAUCCCUGCCUGAGCGUGGCCUGUUUAGAGGACUUUUGUAAAUUGCAGUUUGAAAAACAGGGCUUACUUCUGUCUCCGCUGUAGCUUAAAAUUGUCUUCCUUCCAUUUUCUUAAUUGUGUUGUGCAGCAGUGACCUGUCGUUAUGAGGCCGAUGAUGUAAGGCAUAAAAACAGCUCUAACUCAGCUCAUUUUACUCAGACUUUCAGCACUCGUUCCUCCAAUAACAAAAUAUUUCAUUUGCUGUGCAUAGUUUGUUUUAUGAGUCACAGCUGACUGAGGUGCAGGUACAGGUCUGAGUCUUGCUGCAGAUCAGUGCAGGACUCUCUGAAGCCUCCAUGUGUCUCUUGCAGGUAAAAACAGACCCAUGCUGUCCCGCCACAGCUGACAGGUGCUCUGUGUAUGUUGGGCCGCAGCCUGAGGAACGCUGCCAACUGCGACCGGGACGCUGAUUUGGCAGGAAGAGAGCAGAGCUGCGGCCAUGCUCAGAUGGAAAAAACAUAAUGAGCAUAAAUAAGCAGGAGAGCGCUCGCUGUGCAAACACUGCUCUGCUGUUCUUUCCGCGUAAAAGCAGACGGUGGUUUCUUCACGUCCUCUGACACACCCGGACUUUGCUUCCUGUCAGAAGUCACCCCAACCUAAAUAUGAACUUUUCAAUAGCAGCUUUAUUUCCAGGACUGUACAGAGCACUGAGGACACCACAGUCAGGUUCUCAGGUUUCACCUGGAAUGAAACACCUUUGGAUUCAAGAUGAUUGACUUUCUACAAAGUUUCUUAGAGCUUGGAGAACUUUCCACUGAUGAUGAGCCCCUCUGCCAUGGAGAAAAUAUUCCCACUAUCACUAUCAGUUGAGCACAGUCAUGUUUCUGCCAGUUGACCAGCGGCUGCAGGAGCGCUUUUAACAUUAGUUAAGCAGAAGAGGAUGGAUGGAUGGAUGGAUGGAUGGAUGGAUGGAUGGAUGGAUGGAUGGAUGGAUGGAUGGAGUGAUCAAACAGGACAGAUAAAAAACUCACAUUCAGAAAAAAUAAACAAUUAAAAAAAAACGUAAAGUUCAUUUGACAAAAAGCGUUCAGGACAAUUUCACGACCUGCUGUGAGAUCUUUGUGAUUCGUCAGCAGCGUCUUCAAAUAGCCCGACUGCAGCGGACUAAUAAAACCACCACCAGAUAUACAUUCAUCAUCCAUUUGUAUAGGUGUUGGUGCCCAAUUAGAAAAAAAUAAUGAAGAACUGAUUGCAAGAGUGAGGGCACAGUUUCCAGUCCAUUAUUUCCUCCUGGUUUAUGGAGUUGAACUCGGGCAACCUUUCUCUGAAACGUGCACCAGGUGUUUUGCAUGUUAAAACCUUUUCCAGCCUUUCUUGAGUAUUAGUGUUAGGACUGUCGUGCAUAAGCCUUGAGUUUUCUUUAAUUUUACCCCAGCUGCCACUUCAAAGAGUGCUCGUCCUCAUUUGCAGUACAGCGUAAUCCUCCCACACAAACAGCUGUCUGUCAAAGCCUUUAGACCACGAUCAACCUCUAUGACUAAAACUGUGGAUGAGAAAGUUUUCAGCAGCUUAUUUCUACGAGGCAGGAAAAGUUCAUCUGAGGCCUGAAAGCUCGAGUCACUCUUCUCCUCUCUGGGUUUAGUGGUUGUAGUUUGUCUAAAGUUUCACGCCUUGGAUCUAUUUUUGUUGCUCCGGUGAAACCUGAAUGUCUUCAGAGAUGGAACAUGGCGCUGACCUUUUAUGGACUGAUUUUGAAUGGAGGCAGGUGGGCAUGAGAACGGUCAGGAUCUGUAAUGGAUAUGGAGUUUUUAAACUUUGCUGAUUUUCCUGUUUAUAAACAGGAAAAAUGAGUUGGCUGCUUUUCAUUAAUCUUAACUAUGUCAUGCGUGAAAUGUCAGAUGUCUAUGACGGUUAUGCCCAAAAAUUUGAAUAUCAAAAGUCUGUAAAACGAGCUCUGAGAGCUAAACACAGGCUCUCUGCUUUGAAAACUGAGUUUCUACAAUCCUCGUACUUUUGUAACUCAGCUCGUCUCAGAUUUCUUUAUUAUUACUGAUACGUGCACAAGUUGUGAACUUUCUCCUUUUAUUGUGCGACCAAACUCAGUGUAUAGUCUCUUAAUAGGUCAGUGGGCUCAUGGCAGGUUUACUGAUAAUCAGACGCAGUGAUUAACUGAUCAUCAGCAAGUGUAAUCACCUCUUUAAAAGCAGAUGUUUCUGUAAGCUGGUCUGGAGUGUCAGAGCAAACAUCCAAGAAAAUUCCUCCCAAAGUCAGAAGGUGCAAUGCUCACUGCAAAAAACAAACCCAAGAGCUCCUUGUCAGCCUCUACAGGCCUCAGCUAGCAGGUUAAAGGUUAAAGGUUAAAGUUAAAGUUAAAGUUAAAGUAUGGCUUCUCUGAAAGAGAACACAUCAGCACAGCUCAGGUUUGCAAAGCUGCAUCUGAACAAAGCACAAGACUUUCCUGAGCAACACCCUCUGGCAGACGAGACCAAAGUGGAGAUGUUUGCCCAUAAAGCACAGCGAUGUCACAGGACCACCGAGUGAGGUCAUUGUCUCCUGUCAUGUUAGUUAGCUUCAUUAUUACAGAUUCACUAAGCUACUGAAGGUGACUCUUAUUGUUACCCUUUCAUUAUCAAACUGUGUGACUUAUUUUUACAAUUUUAAGUAAAAUGAUGUCAGUAGACUGCAGCUCAGGGAGCUCAGGGAGCUCAGGGACUUUUUUGGAUGGACCUGAACCUCCAAACUGGUGAUCGAAUCAGCUGCAUGUUCCCCACACGGAGUAAAGCUUGUUUGGCUGCAGUGCUGUUUCUUGAAACAAUUCAAAUGUGGAAAAAAUCAAACUCGGUACAUGUGGUACUUAUUAACUCAACACAUCGGGCCAGCCGGCAGUUUCUGGCAGGUCAGACGUGCAGACGCCUCUUUCUCCCUGAUAGUCCUCUGUGAACCCGCUGAGCUGUUUCACCAACAGAAGCUUCAAAUCAAUAAGUUCCUCUGACACACUGACAUCCUCCUCAUCAGCGUAUCAGAUGGCACACAGUCAGCUUUCAGCUGUUAAUCAGGGACUCCUGUGAGCACGUAUGUAAAUAUGACAUGUCUUUGAAGAACCAGAUCCACUUCUUUGAUGUUUUCCUGCACAUAUCUGACACUGUUUCUUUUUUCUUUGUCAGUUUGAUCAUCUGAAACAUUAACGUUAAAUCUUUUAUAAAUUUCUGGACUGAUUAAUUGUAGUGCAUUGGGAUUUGGGGGAAUUCUGGGCAUGAGUGAAAACCAGAGGGGAUCCUUACAUUACUGAAGCUCAUCUUCUCGUGUGCCUCUCAAUUGUUUCUUCAAUGAAAGUUGUCUCCUGUUACUUUGUACUCGAGCCUCUCCACUAGUUCUCUUUCAAAGAGUUAAAACAGUGACCAAUGAGCUUGAUUUUAUUUUGGGAUAGCAGGCAGGGUCACAUGGGAGAGCAAAGAUUUUCUUGUGUUGUGAACAAAAAUAAUAAUCUGUUUUUCUUGUGAUUAUAGAAGGAGUUCUGGAACUUUUGGCUCCAGAAUCUAAAAUCUGGGAACUUUCAGGGGAAUUAAAGAAGAUCAUCCCUUUCUCUGCUUUAGUUGUAUUUCAUUCACAUGAAGUAAUGUGGACAAUACAAAAAAAUGACAACCAUCCAGUCAAAGCUGAGACUUCCUCCCAGACAACCUCCUCUGGCUUCUAAAGGACACACAGUCGUCCCCAAUCCAGCUUUAAGAUGGACUCUCCUGGGUCUCUUACUGUCCUGGGUCUGCCGAAGGGCCUCUUCCAGAGCUCGUGACCACAGAGCCGUAGAUCAACCAAGGGCAGAAGCUCAUCCCCAACCUGGAGAACUGAUCUCGGACAUGGAGGUGAUAUUUCUCAUCCCAGCCGCUUCACAAUCCAACAGCCAACAAAGCCAAAAGCACCACAUCUGCAAAAGGCAGGCACAAGAUCCUGAGACCAACAAACCCUCCACCCUCUACCCCAUCACUGAACCUAGAAAUGGUAGAAAUAGUAAUGGUAAUGGGCAGGCUCCACCAAGAACAAGUCUGUUAGUUUAAGUUACAUUUACAGAGAUGCUCUAAAGAGGAAACAACAAAAGAAUCACUGACUGUAUGUGAGUGAUAACGAGAUGUCCUGUGAUUAACUAUGACAGUUUCACAGUUACCAUAAGAGGUCAGGAACAGCUGCAGGGCUUCAAGAUUUUACACUUUAUAAGUGCUGAUUAUAGCUGAUGUUUGUCUCUGAAUCUUAAUGGCUUUUACAAUUUUAAAUAUGUCAAUAAAAACAACAGCUCACAGUGCAGCUGACGGCA